rnacentral:rRNA from 1 species
GCGCAGCAGGCGCGAAUACUUUACAAUGUGCGAAAGCACGAUAAGGGAACUCUGAGUGCCUCCUAAGGAGGCUGUUCAGGUGUCUAAAAAGCACCUGGAGUAAGGGCUGGGUAAGACCGGUGCCAGCCGCCGCGGUAACACCGGCAGCCCAGGUGGUAGCCACUUUUAUUGGGUCUAAAGCGUCCGUAGCCGGUUGAGUAAGUUCCUUGGGAAAUUUGGCUGCUCAACAGUCAAGCUUCCAGGGAAUACUGCUCGACUUGGGACUGGGAGAGGUCAGAGGUACUCCAGGGGUAGGGGUGAAAUCCAUUAAUCCCUGGGGGACCACCGGUAGCGAAGGCGUCUGACCAGACCAGGUCCGACGGUGAGGGACGAAGGCUA